UGCUCUCCUCAGAGAGAGCCCCAACCUCUCUGCUGACCUCCAGCCUCCCAUCUCCAACUGCCUUCCAGACAUCUCAGACUGGGUGUCCAGUAGACUGAUGGAUGGAUAGUAGGUGAGGAGGCACUGGACCCCCUGAACAGCCACUUCAUGAUGGACAGAGAGAUCUGGACCUGGCCUCCCCCCAGCUCUUACAGUGUGUAAUUUGGGCAGCUCAGGCCCAAUGGGAAAGGGUAUGACAUUCAGUUGCUACCAAAAAAAGUGUGUUUUCCUUCCAGGGGCAUCCAAGCCCUCAGAGGGUCUCAGAGGUGCUCACUGGACUUGCUGACUGUGAGUGCCUUGUGUUGUCUGCAUCUGCUCCAGGCCCUGAGAAUCCUUUACGUCUUCUGGGUUUGUUUUUUUUUUUUUUUUG